rnacentral:ncRNA from 1 species
GAUGUUGACUCGAUAGCAGCCAGCCUCAUCGCAGAAUGACGUAUGACAUGAAAUUCAUGAGGAUUUCAAGGACCUCCUUUGAAUGAAUCCUUAUAAAAUAGUUCAAAGAAGAUUGAAAACGCCGAAACAUGUAAGAAAACAACUGCAGAUGUGAAAAAAUUGCGCGGACAGUAGAGCAAGCUGUACGGCCAUUUCUUGGAGUCGGGUUGCUUGAAAAUGCAGCCUGAAGUGAGUGAUAAACUUCAUCUAAGGCUAAAUAUAGACGCGAAUUCGAUAGCAAACAAGUACUGUGAGGGAAAGUUGCAAAGAACUUUGAAAAAAAAUUAGAAUAAGUAACUACACCUAUCAUUCAUGAUGAAUCAUGG